rnacentral:snoRNA from 1 species
GCUUUAGAGUUAAGGAGCCAGGAGGGGAGUUAUUUAAAUGGAACUCACUGUGUAGGAGGUGUGCUACAUGAGGGGCAAGUUUUUCGCCAACACCACAGGGGUCUGUGGCCAAAUGAGUGGAGUUUGUUAGUAAUCCUUGUUACAAGU